UACGUAGGGUGCGAGCGUUGUCCGGAAUUAUUGGGCGUAAAGAGCUCGUAGGCGGUUUGUCGCGUCUGCUGUGAAAUCCCGAGGCUCAACCUCGGGUCUGCAGUGGGUACGGGCAGGCUAGAGUGCGGUAGGGGAGAAUGGAACUCCUGGUGUAGCGGUGGAAUGCGCAGAUAUCAGGAAGAACACCGAUGGCGAAGGCAGUUCUCUGGGCCGUAACUGACGCUGAGGAGCGAAAGCGUGGGGAGCGAACGGGAUGAGAAACCCCAG
rnacentral:rRNA from 1 species